CGUCAUGGUUCUAUUUUGUUGGUUUCUAGGACCAUCGUAAUGAUUAAUAGGGACGGACGGGGGUAUCAGUAUUCAGUUGUCAGAGGUGAAAUUCUUGGAUUUACUGAAGACUAACUACUGCGAAAGCAUUUACCAAGCACGUUUUCAUUAAUCAAGAACGAAAGUUAGGGGAUCGAAGAUGAUCAGAUACCGUCGUAGUCUUAACCACAAACUAUGCCGACUAGGGAUCGGGUGUUGUUCUUUCAUUGACGCACUCGGCACCUUACGAGAAAUCAAAGUCUUUGGGUUCUGGGGAGAGUAUGGUCGCAAGGCUGAAACUUAAAGGAAUUGACGGAAGGGCACCACCAGGAGUGGAGCCUGCGGCUUAAUUUGACUCAACACGGGGAAACUCACCAGGUCCAGACACAAUAAGGAUUGACAGAUUGAGAGCUCUUUCUUGAUUUUGUGGGUGGUGGUGCAUGACCGUUCUUAGUUGGUGGAGUGAUUUGUCUGCUUAAUUGCGAUAACGAACGAGACCUUAACCUACUAAAUAGUGCUGCUAGCUUUUGCUGGUAUAGUCACUUCUUAGAGGGACUAUCGAUUUCAAGUCGAUGGAAGUUUGAGGCAAUAACAGGUCUGUGAUGCCCUUAGACGUUCUGGGCCGCACGCGCGCUACACUGACGGAGCCAGCGAGUUUAUACCUUGGCCGAGAGGUCUGGGA
rnacentral:rRNA from 1 species